rnacentral:rRNA from 1 species
GAUGAACGCUGGCGGCGUGCCUAAUACAUGCAAGUCGAGCGAACAGAUGAGGAGCUUGCUCCUCUGACGUUAGCGGCGGACGGGGGAGUAACAAGUGGAUCACCUAACUAUUAGACUGGGAUAACUUCGGGAAAACGGAGCUAAUACCGGAUAAUAUAUUGAACCGCAUGGUUCAAUAGUGAAAGACGGUUUUGCUGUCACUUAUAGAUGGAUCCGCGCCGCAUUAGCUAGUUGGUAAGGUAACGGCUUACCAAGGCAACGAUGCGUAGCCGACCUGAGAGGGUGAUCGGCCACACUGGAACUGAGACACGAUCCAGACUCCUACGGGAGGCAGCAGUAGGGAAUCUUCCGCAAUGGGCGAAAGCUUGACGGAGCAACGCCGCGUGAGUGAUGAAGGUCUUCGGAUCGUAAAACUCUGUUAUUAGGGAAGAACAAAUGUGUAAGUAACUAUGCACGUCUUGACGGUACCUAAUCAGAAAGCCACGGCUAACUACGUG